GGGUUGUGAGGUUAAGCGACUAAGCGUACACGGUGGAUGCCCUGGCAGUCAGAGGCGAUGAAGGACGUGCUAAUCUGCGAUAAGCGUCGGUAAGGUGAUAUGAACCGUUAUAACCGGCGAUUUCCGAAUGGGGAAACCCAGUGUGAUUCGUCACACUAUCAUUAACUGAAUCCAUAGGUUAAUGAGGCGAACCGGGGGAACUGAAACAUCUAAGUACCCCGAGGAAAAGAAAUCAACCGAGAUUCCCCCAGUAGCGGCGAGCGGACGGGGAGCAGCCCAGAGCCUGAAUCAGUGUGUGUGUUAGUGGAAGCGUCUGGAAAGGCGUGCGAUACAGGGUGACAGCCCCGUACACAAAAAUGCACAUAUUGUGAGCUUGAUGAGUAGGGCGGGACACGUGGUAUCCUGUCUGAAUAUGGGGGGACCAUCCUCCAAGGCUAAAUACUCCUGACUGACCGAUAGUGAACCAGUACCGUGAGGGAAAGGCGAAAAGAACCCCGGCGAGGGGAGUGAAAAAGAACCUGAAACCGUGUACGUACAAGCAGUGGGAGCACGCUUAGGCGUGUGACUGCGUACCUUUUGUAUAAUGGGUCAGCGACUUAUAUUCUGUAGCAAGGUUAACCGAAUAGGGGAGCCGAAGGGAAACCGAGUCUUAACUGGGCGUUAAGUUGCAGGGUAUAGACCCGAAACCCGGUGAUCUAGCCAUGGGCAGGUUGAAGGUUGGGUAACACUAACUGGAGGACCGAACCGACUAAUGUUGAAAAAUUAGCGGAUGACUUGUGGCUGGGGGUGAAAGGCCAAUCAAACCGGGAGAUAGCUGGUUCUCCCCGAAAGCUAUUUAGGUAGCGCCUCGUGAAUUCAUCUCCGGGGGUAGAGCACUGUUUCGGCAAGGGGGUCAUCCCGACUUACCAACCCGAUGCAAACUGCGAAUACCGGAGAAUGUUAUCACGGGAGACACACGGCGGGUGCUAACGUCCGUCGUGAAGAGGGAAACAACCCAGACCGCCAGCUAAGGUCCCAAAGUCAUGGUUAAGUGGGAAACGAUGUGGGAAGGCCCAGACAGCCAGGAUGUUGGCUUAGAAGCAGCCAUCAUUUAAAGAAAGCGUAAUAGCUCACUGGUCGAGUCGGCCUGCGCGGAAGAUGUAACGGGGCUAAACCAUGCACCGAAGCUGCGGCAGCGACGCUUAUGCGUUGUUGGGUAGGGGAGCGUUCUGUAAGCCUGCGAAGGUGUGCUGUGAGGCAUGCUGGAGGUAUCAGAAGUGCGAAUGCUGACAUAAGUAACGAUAAAGCGGGUGAAAAGCCCGCUCGCCGGAAGACCAAGGGUUCCUGUCCAACGUUAAUCGGGGCAGGGUGAGUCGACCCCUAAGGCGAGGCCGAAAGGCGUAGUCGAUGGGAAACAGGUUAAUAUUCCUGUACUUGGUGUUACUGCGAAGGGGGGACGGAGAAGGCUAUGUUGGCCGGGCGACGGUUGUCCCGGUUUAAGCGUGUAGGCUGGUUUUCCAGGCAAAUCCGGAAAAUCAAGGCUGAGGCGUGAUGACGAGGCACUACGGUGCUGAAGCAACAAAUGCCCUGCUUCCAGGAAAAGCCUCUAAGCAUCAGGUAACAUCAAAUCGUACCCCAAACCGACACAGGUGGUCAGGUAGAGAAUACCAAGGCGCUUGAGAGAACUCGGGUGAAGGAACUAGGCAAAAUGGUGCCGUAACUUCGGGAGAAGGCACGCUGAUAUGUAGGUGAAGUCCCUUGCGGAUGGAGCUGAAAUCAGUCGAAGAUACCAGCUGGCUGCAACUGUUUAUUAAAAACACAGCACUGUGCAAACACGAAAGUGGACGUAUACGGUGUGACGCCUGCCCGGUGCCGGAAGGUUAAUUGAUGGGGUCAGCGCAAGCGAAGCUCUUGAUCGAAGCCCCGGUAAACGGCGGCCGUAACUAUAACGGUCCUAAGGUAGCGAAAUUCCUUGUCGGGUAAGUUCCGACCUGCACGAAUGGCGUAAUGAUGGCCAGGCUGUCUCCACCCGAGACUCAGUGAAAUUGAACUCGCUGUGAAGAUGCAGUGUACCCGCGGCAAGACGGAAAGACCCCGUGAACCUUUACUAUAGCUUGACACUGAACAUUGAGCCUUGAUGUGUAGGAUAGGUGGGAGGCUUUGAAGUGUGGACGCCAGUCUGCAUGGAGCCGGCCUUGAAAUACCACCCUUUAAUGUUUGAUGUUCUAACGUGGACCCGUGAUCCGGGUUGCGGACAGUGUCUGGUGGGUAGUUUGACUGGGGCGGUCUCCUCCUAAAGAGUAACGGAGGAGCACGAAGGUUGGCUAAUCCUGGUCGGACAUCAGGAGGUUAGUGCAAUGGCAUAAGCCAGCUUGACUGCGAGCGUGACGGCGCGAGCAGGUGCGAAAGCAGGUCAUAGUGAUCCGGUGGUUCUGAAUGGAAGGGCCAUCGCUCAACGGAUAAAAGGUACUCCGGGGAUAACAGGCUGAUACCGCCCAAGAGUUCAUAUCGACGGCGGUGUUUGGCACCUCGAUGUCGGCUCAUCACAUCCUGGGGCUGAAGUAGGUCCCAAGGGUAUGGCUGUUCGCCAUUUAAAGUGGUACGCGAGCUGGGUUUAGAACGUCGUGAGACAGUUC
rnacentral:rRNA from 1 species